rnacentral:tRNA from 1 species
GCACUGGUGGUUCAGUGGUAGAGUUCUCGCCUUCCAUGCAGGAGACCUAGUUUCGAUUCCUGAUCAAUGCA